rnacentral:lncRNA from 1 species
GGGCGAAACAAAAUGGAAAAAAUAUGUACAGGUUUUAAUUAGGCAACACUGAGCUAUCAAAAAAAAACCAACAACACAACAGGAAAAAAUACAACCAGCAGGAAAUCCUGGCGAGGAACAAACGGAGCUGUGAUCGACGAGCUUCACUCCACCCUCCCUUGGUGCAGGGCAGAGCGAGUGCACCCGGAUUUGCUCUAAAUCACCCCAAAUUGGCUUUAAAGAUGGGGUCCUCUCCCAUCUCUGAGCCAGCAGCACGCCAGGAAGGCAGCGCUGCUCAUCGCUCUCUGUGGCAUCAAGCAAUGAAAUCCAACGGUCUGUUGAAUCCUCCUUUUCUGUUCAUGUACUGUCUGUAUUUCCUCUUCUGGGACACGUUGAUGGCGUAUGCGUUUGCAGCACCGUCCACUUUCUUGCCUUUAGUUGUGUCAAAAGAGGCAAAGCCCAUCAUCUUCAUCAUCUCGAUUUCCUCUUCCGUCUUGCCUUGCAAAUCUUCCUCCGUGAUCUGCCGCUCUUUGCCUUUGGUGUCUUUGCUCUCCUUCUUCUCCUCGUCUCGCCUCUCCUUCAGCCGCAGAGGGGAGGAGGAACUGGAGCGGUGCCUCCGGGGGGACCUGGAUCGCCGCCGGUGCGGGGAGCGGGAGCGGGUCCUCCUCCUGUCCCUGUCCCGGGACCGCGUCCGUUCCCUCCGCCUCCUCUCCCGGUCCCGCGAAGCGGAUCGCGAGCGCCGGCGGUCGCGCCGCGGCGGCGAGCGGGACCGGCUGCGGCCCAUUGCGCCGCCCCUCCGCCCCCACUUCCGCCCGCAGCCCUCCCCACUUCCGGCGCUCAGCUCAGUAUUCCCCACCCUCCGUCCGGAAACAGCGCCGCAGCGCUUUGGUUCCCCCACCAAAACGGUCCGGGAGGAGCGAACCCCGCCGUAGCCCGGCUCGGGCAGCCCCUCUCGGCCUCCAGAAGCGAGAAGGGCUCGGGGCCGGGCCCGCUGCGUGGCUGGAGGUCCCCCUCAGCACCAUCACACACAGCCACGCCCCCACCCCACCGCAUCCCUCCAUGGACUCUGAGCUCAGUGGGGCCGAACGCGGGGUUUAUUUAUGUACAGGCAGGCGUUACACAGCGCUCCCAGCAGCGACCCACAGCCCAACCCCACGGCCACCAACGCCACGGGGCCUUCAGCCAUCCUCCAGUGCUGUGAUGGUGCCCCAAAGCCUUUUCUUCGCCUCAUCCUCCGCUCCCGGAUGGCUCCGCUGCGGCCACAGCCCUGGAAAGGGGAGCCCAAAGGCCCCCAUGGGGGCGGUGGUCUCAGGGGUGCUGAGGGCUGCGGUGGGGGCUGGGAGAGGAGAAAAAGCAGCAAGGGAAAAUGGGGGGGUUUGGGUGACCCAGCGGGGAGAGCUGAGGGUGAACCGUGGGAAGAAAGGCUGAGGGCAGCCGAAGGGAGACCUGAAUGGAGCCCUCCAGUGCCUGAAAGGACAGAGAGCGGCUUCCCACACGGCCCGAUGGCAGCAGGACGAGGGGGAAUGGCCGCGAGGCCGAGAUGAGAUGGCAGCAGGAGAUUCUUUGCUCAGAGGGCAGUGAGGCACCGCUGCUGGGAGCGCCCCGGGCUGAGGGCAGGACGUGGGGCCAGGCAGCCUUUGAGGUCCCCUCCGACUUCAUCCGCUCUGCC